CAAGUGGUGCGACGAACCGGAGCUUGCUCUGGGGCAAAGCCGCGAACGGGUGAGUAACACGUGGGUAAUCUACCCCGAUGACCGGGACAACCCGAGGAAACUCGGGCUAAUACCGGAUGUGGUGUACUGGCAUAAGCCGGUCCACUAAAGGUAGCUUCGGCUUCCGCAUUGGGAGGGGCCCGCGGCCCAUUAGCUUGUUGGUGGGGUCAAGGCCUACCAAGGCAACGAUGGGUAGCUGGUCUGAGAGGACGAUCAGCCACACUGGGACUGAGACACGGCCCAGACUCC
rnacentral:rRNA from 1 species